UACGGGGGAGCAAGCGUUGUUCGGAAUUACUGGGCGUAAAGGGCGCGUAGGCGGCCUGUUAAGUCGAACGUGAAAUCCCCGGGCUCAACCCGGGAACUGCGUCCGAUACUGGCAGGCUUGAAUUCGGGAGAGGGAUGCGGAAUUCCAGGUGUAGCGGUGAAAUGCGUAGAUAUCUGGAGGAACACCGGUGGCGAAAGGCGGCAUCCUGGACCGAGAUUGACGCUGAGGCGCGAAAGCCAGGGGAGCAAAACGGG
rnacentral:rRNA from 1 species